UAGAUCCUCCUCGGUCUCGGUCUCCAUGUCUCGAGAGCGUCUCUUGUAGACCUGCGAGCACACAUAUCACAGAAUCCCAUGGAUCUUCGUAUCACUGCUCUAUAAAAUUCAAGUUAUUUCGUCACGCUUUUUUGUUUAUCUCAAUUUCUUCAUAUAAAUAUGAACGCUUUAUCACGCUAAUUACUUCUACGAAUAGUUUUUUUGUCAGUUGGAGCGUACUCUUUUGAUGAAAAUUCGAACGAUUUAUUAUUUCGAUUUUUUUCGGUAUUAUCUGGUUUUUCAUUGUUUUCCGAUCAUAUUUUGUAAAUUAUUCUUCUCUGCCAUUUCAUAUGGAAACUCAUUGCGAGAAGAAUAAAUGGCUCCAAAGUAUUUUUCACGUGAUUAAAAUUGUGUUGUGACCAGUUGUGAUUUUCAGUGAUGGAGCAAUAUUCAUCGCGAAUAUUGUAUUGUGGAGCAGAGGAGCGAGGGAUAAAACUGGAAAAAGGGAGUUUCAGGGCAGAGAAAAGGAGCCGGCAGAAGAAGAAGAAGAGAAGGGAGAGGGGUGAGGUGUGACCUCACACCCGCUCGGCGUGUACACCACUAGACAUACCACAGAGAAGAUGCUGAUGCGGAAGCGAAGUCAGACAGGCAUAGACGGUGAAGCCAAGGGCUUCAUUAUUCAAAGGGUGUCAGGCGUCUUGCGUUCUGCCGGUCCGCUGAUCGCGUGUUAAGUUAACGGGCCUCGCGCAAGAACCGUCACAGAGAAAACGUGACAGCCGAAUGCGGGGACACUUUACUGGAGUUAUUGAGCAUGAAAAUAGUUAUCGAACAACAUUCUCAUCGAAAAUGUUGCGUUCGCGUGAGGCACGCUUCGUUUAGAAAUCCCUUUAUCAAGGGCUUAAAGGAAAGUGUAAAUUUACAAUUGUCGGGCGAAUAAGAGAGUGGGGAAAUGAGAAGGAGUCGGUGGAGUAAGAGAGCAGACGAUUCUCCUUCGGAAUAUGGCACACACGACGUAGAAUUUUCGAGAAGACACCCCGAGAAAGGAUCACUUUGGAGGAAUCUCAUCGGUGGCUGUGUCAAAAGUGAAGGAUAAAAGAUGGAGGAAGAGAUGAACGCAUUUCGAAGUGAGUGAGAGACCAGAGAGCUUUAUAUGCUCAGAUUCAUCGAGUUGGAAGGUUCCCAGUUCCAGACACGUCACGAGAUACAGUAAAACCAGCAGAAUAUAUACAUGGCGCAGCUAGAAUGACAAGAGCGGAAGCUCCGAGGAGGAAGAAGAGAUGCAAAUACAUCGAUGAUCUUUCCAUGCCGUGAGGACCCAUAAAGUGCAGUACACACCGAAGGCAUAUAGAAGCAAAGUACCAAGAGUCUUUGCCGUACCGCAUGCCUCCGUGCUUUCCGGUAGAGUAGAAAGAGAGAUGGGAAUUGGGAGGGAGCUUUCGGUAGCAUGGAUAUCGCUUCGUAUGUGCCCGGAAGGCGAAAACUUCAUAUAUACUGUGAAAGGGAAGAAGACAGAGGGGGAGAGUGAGAGUGAGAAGCAACGUGCCUUUCGCAAUACACACCCUUUCCUUCGCAGGGUUAUAUUCACUGUGCGAUAUUUCGUGGAGCGUGUACCAGCCAUGAGUUCGAGAAUGGAUGGAGAGAUUUGAAGGAGAAAGACGUGUGCGUAUGAGGAUUGCGGCCUCUUGUGGAUCCGUAUGAACAUAUGAUGAAGCGUGUGUUGCUUGUAUCACAUGUUCAAGAGCACAUACACUUCGAGGCAUGUCUUUGGUGAGCGCGCACCUCUCUCCUCUCUCUCUCAUUCCAAAUAGAAGGUGGGCUAAGAGGACCAAGAUAAAAAGAGACGGAUAUCUCUGUGCAGGGAGAUUGUGAAUCUGUGCUGUGUUAUGGAUAUCCGAAAGAGAGGCUUCACGUAAAUGGAACUGUGAGCCACGAGCUACGAAUCUGCAGUGGGGCUUGUAGAAAGCAGUCAAUCUUACAGAAGAGCGAUCACAGAAUGAUGCUGCAAACGGUGAAGCCUAGACUCUGUAAGCUUCGUCGUCAACGACGAUGCAGAGAGAAAGAUAGAGAGAGAGAGAGAAUCAAGCGAUGGGGAGGAUACAAGCGUGACGAGUCUCCUUGUAAAUCGCAUCACAGAUCAAACACGGAAGCUUGUAUAUUAAACGUAACAUGGUAUAUAUAAGGAUUCGGUAGGCACACGAAUGAGCGAUCCUUCUGACGUUUCUAUCCAAAACCUUCGCUCACCGGGUCAAACCACUUCUACGUCACUUCUCAUAAGCAUACACCAUCUACGGAUAUAAAUAUUCAUGGGGAUGUGGCUUCGUGAAAAACAUUCCGGAAAGACCUUCCAUGAGGAUCGACCCUUUCAACUGCAAGAAUUGACUCCGGAUGGUUACAACGAACAGAACUCAAGAAUUUAGGGUCAUUCGAAUGUUGCUCAAACUGCAAAGUUAUUUCUUCAGGCUCCGUUGACAGUGGCUGACAAUGUUAAGAGCUGCGGCAACAUCCUGACAUUGAGUUUUAAAAAAGCUGUGACAGGCCCUGCUGCUGUAUACGCGAAUAUGAUCGUUUCCGGAUUCUUGUACCAUCUGUUCGCGUCGCUUUUGUGAAAGAGAGCCUUUUUCAUUUUGUUAUUAUUUUCCCUAUUGGUCUUUGUUAAAAAUCGAUUCUUCCACCCAAUCUGAAGAUAUGAUAAAGCAAUGUGUUGAAAUAUAAUGUUUUGAGAGAAAGGUC
rnacentral:lncRNA from 1 species